GACAGAGGAUGCAAGCGUUAUCCGGAAUGAUUGGGCGUAAAGCGUCUGUAGGUGGCUUUUCAAGUCCGCCGUCAAAUCCCAGGGCUCAACCCUGGACAGGCGGUGGAAACUACCAAGCUGGAGUACGGUAGGGGCAGAGGGAAUUUCUGGUGGAGCGGUGAAAUGCAUUGAGAUCGGAAAGAACACCAAUGGCGAAGGCAGCCUUCUGGGCCAACACUGACGCUCAUGCACGAAAGCGUGGGGAGCAAACAGG
rnacentral:rRNA from 1 species